UACGUAGGGUGCGAGCGUUAAUCGGAAUUACUGGGCGUAAAGCGUGCGCAGGCGGUUUUGUAAGUCAGCUGUGAAAGCCCCGGGCUUAACCUGGGAACUGCGGUUGAAACUACAGGACUAGAAUCUGGCAGAGGGGGGUGGAAUUCCACGUGUAGCAGUGAAAUGCGUAGAGAUGUGGAGGAACACCGAUGGCGAAGGCAGCCCCCUGGGCUGAGAUUGACGCUCAGGCACGAAAGCGUGGGGAGCAAACAGG
rnacentral:rRNA from 1 species